UUCUCUUGCUAAUUAAGAAUUCUACAUUAGAAAAAAAAAUAGGUAUUUCGAUGUUUCAAUGAUAACAAAAGGAAAUGAAAAUAGAGAAAUAAUUACAUUUUUAAAAAUAUCGAGAACAGGAACUUAUAUAACAGCUGUUUACAUUUCCGCAGAUAAACCAAAACUGACAACGAUUGUGUCAUCUAUGAGUAUGCUAACCUUCGGAGAAUUAAAACAAAUUUGUUUACGAUUCAUUAACUUUGUUAUCAUUGAUGAUACGAAACGAAAUUUAAAUUGAUGAAUAAGAUGAGUUUAAAUAAUCCUAUCGUUCCAGUAGGUAGAACAUUUUCAAAUGAUUAACAAUAUUAAUUAUACUGCUCAUUAUAGAUUAUUUAUUCGUGUUAUUAACUUAUUAACGAGCAAACUUGAAACGUUCGUGAAAUCUACCUUCCUCGAUCGCGAUAGCAAAGAGAGUUCAUUGGUUAAUAUUCGAGCCAGAUAUAAUAUAUUGGAUGAGUCAGCCAUUGUUAUCGAGAAAAGCAAGGGUCAUGUUCAUUAUUUCCAUUAUUCCCCUUAUUAGUAUUUUUCGAAAAAUACAAAUAAAAUAUACGAUUAUUUUUUAUCUUGGACCUUGACAUAUGUCAAGAGAAUCGACGUUUGAUCUCAAUACUAUCGACAAAUGUCGAGAUACAAAUCUGAUCCACAUCCUUCGUAAAAGACAUAAAAGAUAUAAGAUCAAUGUUAUGAACUCGAUGAUACGAUUGAAAUUUUUAAUGAGCAUAGUCCGUGUACAUUAAUUAAAAUUCCGUUGAGUUCGAAUCUUUUACCAAUGGCCAAGCAUCGUUAGUUGCAUUGUAACGUAGUAAGAGAAUAUAGAUAAAUAUAUUCUUCCAUAGAGAUUAGUUCGCUUCAACGAAGCUGAAGCUUCGUAGAAAAUACUAAUUUACAUAGUAUAGUAUGUCUAUGUAUCUAUAUGUGUGAGUAUGUCGAAUAGAUCGAAAUAUGUUCUCCUUGUGAUCUCGAGUAGCGUGCUUACCAAGCGAUUUAGACGCACCUUUAACGUUUUCGUUCGAACGUUUUAAAACAUAGCCCACACGUUCGUUCUCCUGUACUUCGAGACCAAUCGAAAGAGGAAAACAUAAAUAAAGAGUUAGGCCGUAUGUAUGUGUAUAAUACAGAAUUGCUAAGGCUUACGUGACCCAGUAGCGAUAUAUCGAUAGUCGGAAAGCGUACGGUGUAUUACUUCGACGUACAACGCGACAUUUGUUUCUCCUAUCGUUGAUUUGCGUCCGACGUAAGACCGAACAACGAAACGAUAUGUGACUCACGUUCGUUUGGAAGUAUUAACGAAGAGAAUCGCUUGUUAUAUUUUUUUUUCCUGUAUUUUCUUUUUUUCUUUUUAGAUGAAACAUGAUAAUUGUAUGUGGGGAAAUUAUUUAUUAGAAAAUAGCGAUAAUCAGAUAAAGGUUCAUUAAUGUUUAUUUACAUACUCGCAUAUCAUUUAGCCUAAUUCUAUAUUUGUUUUUCUUUUUUAUUAUUACUUUAAUAAUUUAAUGUCUUAAGAAAACUUGUACUUAUUAAUACUUGAGCGAGGACGAGAAUUUUUUUAGAUUUAACAGUCUCGACCGUGUUUAACCUUUUUUUUUUUUUUCACUUUUGCGAGCCGACUAUGUUUUUGGUCAAACAUUAUAGCUAUGUAUGGAAUAUAAAUAAUUACACGAUGGUUCAUUUGUGCUUCAAUGUUACUUAUUUACAUACCCGUACACCGUACAUACAUACAUGUAUCGUUUUGUUUAACUAUUCCUUUUUUUUUUUUUUUGUAUUAUUGUAAUAAUUUAAAAUCUCAAUACAGAAAUUUGAAUAUGCUCCAGCGGACACGAAAAAUUUCCAAGACAUUUAAUAUCUCUAGAGCGAUUUUUUUCCUUGUCUUUCUUUUGAAAAAGAAGUCUAGAAUUUUAGAAGAAAGAGUCCAGUUGAAAAUUUAAAAACUGGUUCGGAGAUCGAGAAGGGAUAAGGAAAGUUUCAGACCGUUUUAAGAACUACGAGAGAGAGAAAGAGAGAGAAAGAGAGAGAAAGAAAGAGAGAGAGAGAGAGAGAGAGAGAGAGAGAGAGAGCUUUCGUGCAUCGUGGCGUUACUCGUCCAAAAGCUGUUGGUUUUCUCUCUCGCUCUCUUUCUUUUCUUCUUUUUUUACUCUCUCUCUCUCUCUCUCUCUUUCUCUCUUUUAGGAUCGUACGGUGUGCGCUCGCGCACUCACGAGAGCACGGUAAUCCUAUACGUCUCUUGAGAAACUGGUUUCCGCACGACGUGUUGCGGGUAGCGCGCAAAACAAAUUAAUAACAAGAACAUCAUAACCGCUGCGCCAAGGCUGCCCGAGAGAGAAGGCUGGUGGUCAGUCGUGCGAGUUUAUACUAUAGCCUUAUUGCUUGAUUUUUCUUUUCUUUUUUUUUGUUUUCUUUUUCUCUCCCUUUGACUCGAAAAUUCAUUUCCGAAAAAAAUUAUAUAUAUGACGAAGAAUGAUUGUAUGCUGUUAGACAGAUGAGAGACAGAUCGCAUGAUAGAUCAAAAAAUUAAGGGUAUUGAAUUAGACGAAGAAAAAUACAAAUAGAAAAAAAAAAGUAUGCGUGUGAUAAUGAAUGAGAGAGAGAGAGAGUGAGAGAGAGAGAGAGAGAAAAAUUGAAGAGAGAAAAUGAAGAAUGAAUAAUGAAUAAAUAUCGAUGAUUGAUCUAAACCAUCUAGUUUCAAAAAAUCAUUAGAUAAAUGACUCUUUGAAGAAGUAUCAAAAAAGAAAAAAAAAUAUCACUAGUCGAGAAAUUUUGUUACAAGAAAGCGAAACGAUUUUCCGAAGGUUCUACGAAAUUUCGACGAACGAAAAGGAACAAAACGUAGGAGUCAUGACAAAGAGAUGUAAAAACGAAACAAGUAAAUCCAUUUGAAAAAUGUUAGUCUCCAUUGGCAAGGGUUCCCUUUCUCUUUCUCUUUUUUUUCACUUUUUUAUUUCUCUCUUAAAGAGCCGAGACAUUAAGGAAAGUUAGAGCUAUGUUGAAGGUGUGACUAAUUAGCGUGAAUCGGUUGAAGCUGAAGAAAGAAGAAAAGUAACGUUCCUCCCCCACACGUGUGGGUGUCUUUUUUCUCUUCUUUUUUUUUUUUUUGUUUAUUUUUUCUCGUUUUAUUAAAUUCAGCUUAAAAGAAAGAGGAAGAUAAUAGGAGAAUUUUCGGUGUCGCUUUGAUCGUCCAUCAGUUAUACAUAUAUACGGAAACAUUUCUAAUAAAAUAUACAUUUUAUACUUAUAUUGUGAUUGUAACGUAGAUAAAAAAGAAGAAGAAGAAGGCGCUCGAGAAGAGAAGACGAACGGAAAGAAACGUUCCGUCAGCGUUGUCAGUCGUCACUACCGUUAUCUGUCCGAGCUACCUGUUACAUACUAUCUCUUUCUUUCUUUUUCUCUCUUUCUCUCUCUCUCUCUCUCUGUCUCUCUCUUUCUCAAGAAAGAAGAAAGGAGAACUGUUUGUACUUCGGGAGUUGAGGAAGAAGUCAGUGAACGCAUAGACGAAGAAGUAGGUAUACAUACGAGCAGCGAAGCUGGUGAAUUCACCGCGAAGCGCAUCGCGAGUGGAAUGUUAACGAGACUACGAGAGACGAUGAAUCCUUGGUUUCUCGGUGCGAGGAAUGAAGAAUCUUUAUCAUUAGCUUGUUACGCAACUUUUGAUAUAUAUCCUUUGCUUAUGUUAAUAUUUUCCAUGAAAAGAAUGGUUUGAUAAUUUAGCUCUGAUUUAACUCGGUUGGCGCGCGAAUGCUAGAAUACCGAAUAAAGAGAGAGAGAGAGAGAGAGAGAGAGAGAGAGAGAGAGUGUAGAGGAAAAAAGGAGAAUCGGGCGAAGAGAGCACGUUCGUUCGGCAAAAACCUUAAAAGGUCUAAAGACUACAAAUUCAGGCUGUGAUACACGAUGGAGGGCUGGUCUUUAGCCAUUAUUUAUGAAUUUGGUGCACCGAAAAAGGCGGCCCACUGGACCUCGAGAAGAAGAAAAGAGAGAAAGAGAGAGAGAGAGAGAGAGAAAGAGAGAGAGAGAGAGAGGAGGAGCACUACGGAUUGCAAAUCGAUCCGCAAACCGGAUAAAAUAUUUUAUGGAGAACGCGCUUUAAUGGCCCCUUACCGUAGCGAUGGCGGGGAAGGGCCUUCGCUAAGGUCCACGUCCGCAUUGAUUUGUGGUCACGCUCAGAACGACGACGGUCCUUAUCGAUUGCCCGCAUGUCGCUCGGGCCGAUUCGCUUCGCGAGAUCGCGAUACCGCGAUCGUACGCCGAACGAAUCCUCUGAUUCUAGAGUUUCCUUUCUUCCACGACUAACCCUUGCCAGAUCUUGUCUGAUCGAUCAUUCUUCCUUCUUCUUUAAAUGAUUCUACCAACUUUCAAAAUUCAACAGAUAUAUUAUAGUUAUUCAUUGGAAGUUUAGAAUAUAAAUAUUUAGAUGUCAAAGCGUAAAAAUGGUUUAAAAUAGAAUCUCAUAAAAUUUGAUUUGAUUUGUUGUUUCUAUUUGAUAAAAUAAAAAAGAAAAGAAAAGAAAAAAAAAAAAAAAGAAAACAAAAAAUCCAGAAAGUAAAUCUAAUUUUAACUCUCGAUUGUGUAUCGUGACUUUUUCUCGUUUGUUACGUGGGCGUUGUUGAGCCUGUGUAAGUCUCUA